UACGAAGGGGGCUAGCGUUGCUCGGAAUCACUGGGCGUAAAGCGCACGUAGGCGGAUUGCUAAGUCAGGGGUGAAAUCCUGGAGCUCAACUCCAGAACUGCCUUUGAUACUGGCGAUCUUGAGUCCGGGGAGAGGUGAGUGGAACUGCGAGUGUAGAGGUGAAAUUCGUAGAUAUUCGCCAAGAACACCAGUGGCGAAGGCGGCUCACUGGCCCGGUACGUGACGCUGAGGCGCG
rnacentral:rRNA from 1 species